UCAAAACGUAACUAUUGUUAUAUUUAAAUUAUUUUCGUUGUACAUUUAAAUAAUAUAAAAUUACUUAUUAAUUUUAUCUUUUUUAUCUCAUAUUUUUUAAAAUUUACAGGUUUUACUAUCCAUCAUUUUUUUUAUUUGCUCACUAAUCUUAUCUUUGUUUACUUUAGCAUUUUUCAAAGCCCAAAUUUUACAGUGUAAUUGUCGAGUAGGAGGAGAGGCCAGAUUGGCUAUUUCCAACAAUCUAAGAUGAUAUUUGCUGUCUUCAUCGAUUAAUUCACUCAAUUUUUUUCUUUAAUAAAAGUUAAGCUUUUUAUUUGUAUUAAAAAAAAAAAAAAACUUAUAUAUGAAUCCAAAAAUAUCUCUAUCACCUUUUCACUGUAACUUUCCAACAUUACCCUUUCUCAAAUAUCAAAUGCCCUUGUAAAACACAUCAAACUUUCCGGCGAACUCGAAGUCCACAGCCGGUCAAACUCUCCAGUGACUCUCUUCCAAUCACACUUCGCCACACCGCCAGCACUAUUGGAUUCAGAAUCUAACGAUUUACACCGUCGUUCAAGUUCGCCACUGGUUAGUGCGGGGAGAUAAGGAAUCAUUGAUAAGAAGGGAAGAGAAAAUCUUUGGAAUCGGACUGAGGGUGUUGUUAAUGGCGUCAUCUCUGAUUUCAAAUCCAGUAAUGAACUUUGAUCAAGUACCGAAGUAAAAGAAGAAGAAAGUUCUACAAACACACGAUGAUCAAAAGCCACACCCAUCCGUGCUGGCAAUCUGAAACAACAGCAAAUCUACUCUUUCAAGCUUCUUCAAGCCUUGAAACAGGUCAACCUCAGCUCCUCCAGCGUCAUCGAGCCGCCACGCAGUGGUAAAGCCAUCUGCGAGGCAGCCGACAGAGCCUUGGCUGUCGCUUUCAAGGGGAGGACCCGGUGGAGCUGAGCCUUACUGACCAACCGGAGAUAGAGAGCUCCAACGGAGACGAUCAACAAGGAGGGGGAAGAUGGAGGGGAGUAAUUUACCAUAUUAACCUUUAGCUCCUGUUACUAGUAUGGGUAAAUUUGUCGUUCUAAAUCUUAUGCCAAGUAGAUGUAAUGUCAUUUUCAUAUUUAUAUGUUCUAAAUAAAAAUAAAAAUAAAUAAAUAAAGAAAAAAGACGAACAAACAUAUCAUUUGUCCUUA